AAAGUUAUUUUUCUCGUGCUCUUGACAUAACCAGACGCUGUUUUCUCACAAUGUAAUUUUAUCCUGAGAAAAUCUCGCGCUUUGUGAAUGGGACUGGUGUUUACAUGCUCGUUGGCAUCUUUGCCAUCAUAAACAUAGCUUAAUAAUCUACCGCUAUAGAGAUGGACUUUAUCUCUGCAUUAAGAGGGAGGAAUGUCCCCUUCUCAAGUGUAGGACGCUAAUGCGGAAGUCGUUAAGCUUGCAGGGAUGACGUAUUCUUGUAGGCCAACCCGGAAGUUAGCUGGUUCCCUCGACGAAACAUUAUUAGCCUUGCUGAACGGUUUUGUUUGAAAGAAAGUGUACAAUUAUUUGUGGCAGGUCUGUAUCAACGUAGAACUUUUACAGGAACUCACGGGACAUCGAAUACAAACGAUGGCAAAUUGGCAAAGCUUAAACGAAGUGGAUGAAGACUGGUGGGAAUUGGCAUACAAGUUAUUUCUUAGCAAUGAUCCAAUAAAAGUGAUUCUAAACCAUGCUAAUUUUUAUAUGAUGGGCGAUAAGUGGAAUGAUUUUGGAUUCAGCUGUGACACACAUAUUCCUCCAACUGGGAAAUUCCAUGAUGUUUCUAGAAGGGCAGUUUUGGUGGUGAUUUCAAGAACAAGGAAUAUGCACUGGGGAACCUGGAACAAGCUGAAUUCGGCACCUUCUAAACCUGUUCCUGAUCUACAGGAAUCAGACAAGCAGCUUAUAAACUGUAUUACUGACCUGAUGUAUAACAAGGAUGGCAGCCCUAGACCAUAUAAUGGAUAGGAUGAACAAUAUUGAUGAGUCUGAACCAGUGGCACAAUUCCCAGGGGUUUUAUGGGGACAUGUCCCCCCAACUUUUGAAAUCAUGCCGUCUCCUUUUCAACGAAGUUUUUUUGUUGUUGUUGUUUUGUUUUUGCUUGAUUGUUGGUUUUACUCAACACUCAAUAUUUCUGUCAAAGUCAGCGAUCAUGUCAGGUGUUUCAAUAGACCUACAGCCUAUUGAAAACUAACCUGAAAUGCACCUUAUAGUUUGCCAGUGACGGAAAAAGAUUUUUUUAUUAAGAUCAACACCUGCAUGUACAGCUUGUGAACAACUUGGGUAAAGGCAUUUUCCAAACAAAAUAAUCAAAAUACUACACAAAAAACCCACUAGAUACCAAAAUUACCAUGACCAAAACCAUUGUUUUUUUUUUUGGGGGGGGGACAUGUACCACAGACAGAUCAUCAGUACCAUGUUUUUUUUUUUUUUAAAUCAUGUUUUAUGUACCACCUUGUAAAUAACAUGGUACAUGAAUGUGGUAACUUUAUUAUGUUAAUGUCACAGGCAAUUUUUUUUUUUAAAGUUAAUUUUGAUCAAAUUCAACAUGUGCUGUGAUUUGUUUUGAGAUGUUUUGUCUUGACUGCAUAUGCAUCUUUUAUCUGGUUCAUUGUUUUAACCACUCACUUUCUCUGCUCAUUAUACGCAGCUGUUUUUGUAGAUUUUUUUUUCAGGUUUCGCUAUCCCUGUAAGAACAUUUGUUCUUUUUUUAUGACAAUCAUGUAUUCAAUCUAAUUACUAUUUUUUGCCUUUACAUUUAUAUUAAAAAAAUUAAUUGGCUUAAAUUUAGCAAACA